rnacentral:misc_RNA from 1 species
AAAGAUCGCAGCCUCGUUCCACUCGACAGCUCCUACGCCGAUCCUGUAGGAGCUGUCGAGUGGAACGAGGCUGCGAUCUUU